GGUUCCUUUUUUUUAGAAAAUCCUAAGUAUUUGGCUGGUGGGAGGCAUUUACUGCUCCUAGAACUGUUCAGGCAGUUAGACAGCUGCUGUCCUUGGUGAUGAAGUGAUUUCAUAUAAGUUCUUAGCAAUAGAUACAAUGCAUGGCUGUGCCCUGUGUACUGUUUGUGGUCACUGCUGGUAUCUUCCUAGGUCUAUUUGAACUUCUAGAAAAAUACAGACUCCAGGGUCUUAAUGUCUUGAGUUCCUGACUGCCAGGCACAGGAAAUGUUUAACUAUUUUAAUCAUGUUUUUGUAGCCCCAAAGAAAGUCUUUAUAAUAGGAAAUGACAGGGUCCCACCACAAAGUUAUCUCUUAUCAGUUCCAGUCUCCGUGGAUAAUGAUUUGUCAAAUUUGGACAUGUGUAAAAUGCAAGGGCCCUGUUAUUUACUUUGGAAAGGAAAAAUUAGAUGACGCUGAUAAAAGAGUCAUGGCUUUUGUUAGGAGACAGAAACCAUUAGAGGCAGUCAUUGUUAGCUUAGGAAAGUGUCCUUGGACCCCUCCCUGAUGAAACCUAAAUCUGCUUGAAUCAUUCCUUGCAACUCCAGGGGAGGGGAGGUGAAGGAAGGAGGGAGGAAGAACCUGUGAACUAGAGCAGCUUAGAGGCCAGACAAGCUGCUGCUAGUGCACCAGGCAGUUGCUUGUCCCAGAGCUCUCCUCCACCGGUGUUUUUAGAUUUUGGAAAGCACAUUCCAUCUUGCAGAAGGGUGACAUUCCUUCACGCAGUGCUUGUUGCUCUUCCCUCUUCCCUUCUGUAGAUGUAAGUGAUUCUUUUUCAUUAGCAGAAGCAGAGAAAACACAUCCAGCUCAAAGCAGCAUGAGUCAGUGCAUACUUGACAUGCCUCUAUCCUCACAGCACUCUCUGACUCUUCACAGUGCUCACUCCUAGUGUGCUCUCAGAGGGGAGCAGGGGGGAAAGGCUUUCUAAAUACUGGGCUGUUUGUGGAGGAGGGAGAGCAGGAGCCUCUUUUUGUUCCUUUACUUUUUGCCUAGCGUUCUCUCUCUCUCUCUCUCUCUCUCUCUCUCUCUCUCUCUCUCUCUCUCUCUCUUUCUCUCUCUCUCUCUCUCUCUGUCUCGAGCUUUCCAAACGGACAGGUAUGCAUGUACUUAGGAUAAUUUCUAUAUGUUCGUUUCAGGACCAUGAAAUAUUAGAUCAAAUACCUAUAGUUCUGGACACUAUAAACAGACAGAAAACAGAUUUGCUGCAGAUGACAGGAUAGAACUUUGCCAUCUUGUAUGAGGUAGCUUUUAGAAAACAUGCGUGGAGAUAGACCAGUCCUAACCAUUAGCAACAAUGUCCUUUUUUGCUAAAAGGCCUGCAAGCUUAUUUUUCGUGGUUCUCUAGGGAACUGCCCCUUACUAUUGCUGUUCAUUCUGUAAGGAUGGCACUGACAGGUCAAUGGCCAAGGUCCUGCCUGAGAAUGGCUUCCUGUGGGUUCCUUUUUUGGGAGAAACUGGUUCUCUGACAAAGUGAACCUAAAUAAACAAACUGUAUGAAGACCCUGUGAAACAAGGCUGUGGCAGAAGGUGCUGCUCAGAAUUAGGCAAGAAAAUUCUCAUCCUUUUAUAUAUAUCAUAAGUGACCACAUUGUUCUAAAUAAACAAUUCAUUUCUUGUAUACCAUUUUUACUCUGUGUAUUUUCUUUGUCUUUUUUCAUGUCCAUACAUUAUUUUUAUGUAGUUUAAAUUUUGUUAUAAAUCUUCAGUUUUUUCUUUUGAUGUUGUGUUUACCUAGUGUUUAGCUCCUUUUUUUUUUUUCUGGCAAGAUAAAUUUCCUUAAAGUUUCCAUGCUGCUAUUAUAUAGAGGUGAGUGGUCACUUGAAAUAAGAGAUCCCAUGGCAGAGCCUCUUGGCUCUCACAGCAGAAGCUUCAUUAGGUAUGGGAUACCUAAGAUUUGCCUGGUGGAGUGGAGCAGAAGGUAGAGUGCCAGGUGACCAGCCAGCGAGCAUUGCAGUUGCUGUAUAGAGCAAGGCCAUUUGAUUAUGAGAAAAGUCCUGGUUAGAGAAGUUGUGCUCUGAGGAAGAGAUAGUGUUUGCUUUAGGAAAGAAAGGGAGCCAGCUCUGCAACCAUGAGCCAGCCUAACUCAGCUUAGAUGUAUCUGUUCUCUUUUUGUGCUGGUGAUGUACCUAGUUACCAUUGCCACAGGAAAAACCAGCCAGGUCUUUAUUGUAAUUACUUAUGGACCUUUUCCACUUUCUCUCCCUUUUCGUUUCAUUUUGUUUAGUAUGUAUUUUCAGGUCCCUGUUUAUUCUUAUUGAAUCUGUGUAUGACAAAUGACAGCUUCCUUCCUUAGUUGAGGAACUGUAGAUCACAGUUAGCUCUGACCGGCUUCUUGUCAGGCCACCAACAAACUCUGAAUCCUGAGAGUUGAUUUCAGUUCUCACUCAAUUCUUACUUUUUAUUUUAAUGUGUACCAGUUUGGUCAACAUAUCAUUCAUUAUUCACGUUAAAAUCCUCAAGUAACUUCUUGGUUUGGCUUUUCCACAUGUCACCUCAUUUUUAAUAAGGUGUCUCCUCCUUUCUGUGUUACUUCUUUAUUUUGAUGAAAUAUAGAACUUAAGAAUUUUAAUACUUGUACCCUUUAAUAACUGGCCAUUUUAAAACAUCCAUCUUGAGUAGCAAGUUUGGCUUUGACCACUGAAACUUGGCUUUAUAUAAACUCCAUGCACUUUGGGAGAAUUGGGUCACUAAAGUCACAGUUCCAUCUUCGCACUUUCCCUGGUGGCCCUUGGCUCACAUGUGUCUCUGAAGGUAGAGGCAACAGGUUUGCCAUCUCAUCUCUGUUGGACUCUGCCACCUGUACUCUGUCAGCAAGGUUAUUAGUCUUGUGACUAGGGGAAAAGAACUAAGAUUUUGGGGAUCUCUCUCUCUCUCUCUCUCUCUCUCUCUCUCUCUCUCUCUCAUAUUUUGAGACAGAAUUUCAUGUACCUAAAAUGACCUUGAAUUCAUGACCCUCCUGCAUCCUCCCAAGUACUAAGAUUACAAGUGUGCUUCCUACUUGAGAACAUGAUUUUAAGGUUUAUUUAUUUUUUAUUUAUGUGUAUGUAUGUCUCUGUACGUGUGUGCCAACUAUGUAUGGGUACUCAUGGAGGCCAGAAGAGGGUGUUGUAGAUCCUGGAACUGUAGUUGCUGGUGGUUAUGAAUUAUAUUAUAUAGGUGUUGAGAACUAAAUUCAGGUCUUCUGAAAGAGCAGCAAGCACUCUUAAUUGGGGAGUCAUCUCUUCAGCCUGAUAACAUGAUUCUUUUGAAUCUUCCACUUAUAGAGUUGGCUUGGAAAACAAAUCACUGCUUGAGUAGUAAAAAUAAAGUGAGCGCAGUUUUCCCCAUAAUAACUUUAUGUGAUAUUUUUGUAAUUGUAUGUUUCUAGGUACCUGGGGCUCAAGACUUGGUGGAUUUCUCUCCUGUGUAUCGGUGUCUACACAUAUAUUCUGUCCUGGUGAGUCUUUACCUGAGCAUCCUAAUAAAUACGUAUUAAAUCUCAAAUUCUGAGUUGUUAUUAUUAUUACUUUAUUUUUGAGCAAAGUAUUGUUUAGCGAGUAUUAACUAAUUCCUCUGCUCUUGCUUGAGUCUUGUUUAUAUUUGCCUUGUAAAAUUCAAACAUAGCUGAUGAGAUUUCAAAGAGUCAUCAACAGAUUGGUAGGUUAUGAGUAAAAAUGUAUUCAGAUUUCUCUGUUUCAAAUGUAACAUAUUUAACCUAGAAUAACCUGCUUUUUAUAUAUAGUAAAGGAUUUAUGAAAAGUAUUUACAUGUUUUGACAAUCAUCCCUUUUGUUCUGUAAAGCACCAGUAAAAGGGCAAUAAUGUGGUGUCACUAGACUGUGGAGUUGAUACUGAGAGUGUAGGAUAUUGCAAACAUCCCUCCAGUUUGUCUCUGUACUGCAAACUGUGUUUCAUGCUUAUUGAAAUGAACAUCUUCAAUUUUGAGAUAAUCAGGCCCAUUAGUUUUUAACUUAUAGGUUAUAAUGUUUGAAUGUUCAUUU
rnacentral:lncRNA from 1 species